UGUACAUACUAAAACAGAAAUAAAAGCCUUGAACGCCAGCUGAAAUGGAUUAGUUUAUGUGCGCUCACGUAUUUACUUUUAUAUACAUUUCCGAUUCUUUGUGGUUGUGCAAAAACAUAUGCUCGGCGAUAAGACAAGGCGCCGCUUAUGACGUGUGAAAAAGCGAAAAGCGCAACCAUAUGAUUCUGAUAAGCCGGCAAGGGAAAAUGAAACUUUCGCUGCGAAAAUACGAAAACGAUCGAAAGAAAGGCCGCGAGGAAAAUAAAUAACCAAAACUGUACAGUAUUUUCCACACUGAAAAGUGCAAAAGAAGAAAGAAAAAAAAGGAAGAGAGCGCGAGAGCAGCGUGUAAAUAAAAGCAAAGCAAAACCAUCUGAUGAUACGAAUAUACCGGUACAGCUGAUUUCAUUUCAACUAUGAACGCGCAAGAGGAAGAAAUAGAAACGUUGAUUAGGCAAUGCACGAUAAGCGAAGAGGUGAGCCCGAGGGCGGGUGAGGGGGAGAGGCGGUGCGGGUGCGCAGCUGUUUUUUACCUCCGUUAAUUCGAACAUGUGAGCUAGCGCGAAUUGGCAGCUGAGCGCGAGAGCCGGAGCAUGGGAGAGGGGCGGAGGAGCGAAGAGAGCCAGCGCGAUCGACAGCUACGAAAAAUAGCAAAAGGAGCUGUAACAAAUUAGACCAAAUUUUGGAGGAAGGGAAAUAGUGAAAAUAAACACAAAAGGGGCAUUAAAUAAUUCCAGGAAUAAUUAAAAAAUAUAUUAUAAAUCUUUGGAGUGAAAGCCAAAAUAAAAUGUUUUUAAGCCUCCCUAGCAUGACCAAUAUUUGUACCAGCAGUGUGGCCCGUCUGCCGACGCUGCUGACAAAUUGACAAAACAGCCGUUUUACAAUAUGGACGACCGAAGGCAGAGCGGCAGGCCAAACGGAGAGAGCGAGGCGAGGCGAGGAGAGGAGAGCAGAGGAACAGACACGAAAGAUGGGAGCAAAAAGAAGCGUCACAUUUAUUCCAGCAACAAGAAAACGGCAUGGAAGUGGAAAUGGAAUGCGACGUACACGCUGGUGUGUGAGCAGAGGCCUUAAUGGUGGUGGUGUUUUUGUGCCGUAUUUGUUUUGUCGGCAAAACGGCGGCAAAAGGCGGGCGAGCGAGAGAGAGAGAGAGAGAGAGGGCGAGAGCGGCACCCGGAGAGCGCACUAGCAAGUAGUAAAAAUAAUCAAUAAUUUGCGUGAUAAAAAUGCAAGCCAAGCUGUUGACUCGCCCCGCUGCUGUUGUUGCAUGGAUCCCCCCCUCCCCACUGUCCGCAAACAUUUCGCAACCGAGGGCCAAACUUACUGCAAUU